AUUGAACGCUGGCGGCAUGCCUUACACAUGCCAGUCGAACGGUAACGGGCCUUCGGGUGCCGACGAGUGGCGAACGGGUGCGUAAUACAUCGGAACGUGCCCGAUCGUGGGGGAUAACGAGGCGAAAGCUUUGCUAAUACCGCAUACGAUCUACGGCUGAAAGCAGGGGACCGCAAGGCCUUGCGCGGACGGAGCGGCCGAUGGCAGAUUAGGUAGUUGGUGGGAUAAAAGCUUACCAAGCCGACGAUCUGUAGCUGGUCUGAGAGGAUGAUCAGCCACACUGGGACUGAGACACGGCCCAGACUCCUACGGGAGGCAGCAGUGGGGAAUUUUGGACAAUGGGCGCAAGCCUGAUCCAGCCAUGCCGCGUGCAGGAUGAAGGCCUUCGGGUUGUAAACUGCUUUUGUACGGAACGAAAAGCCUUCUUUUAAUACAGGAGGGUCAUGACGGUACCGUAAGAAUAAGCACCGGCUAACUACGUG
rnacentral:rRNA from 1 species